GACACUGGUAAUCGAAACUACAGUGAGAUACCACUCCCCCAUCCCCACUACUAGGAUGACUAUAAUCAAAAAGACAGAUGAUAACAAUUGCUGGUGAGGAUGUGAAGAUGUGGAACACUCAUACAUGGUUGGUCGAAUGUAAAAUAGCAGCUGCUUUGGAAACCAGUUUGGGGGUUCCUCAAAAUGUCAAACAUAGCAUAUGAUCCACAAUUCUACUCCUAGGUAUAUACUCAAGAGAAAUGAAAACAUAAGUUCAUACAAAGACUUGUACAUGAAUGUUCAUAGCAUUUUUAUUCAUAAUAGCCCCAAAGUACAAACCGUCUAACUGUCCAUCAGCUGAUCAAAGAUAAAAUGUAGUGUGUCCACACAACCCAAUGCUAUUCAAUCACAAAAGGGAAUGAAGCAUUGCUACAUGCUGCAACGUUGAUGAACCUUGAAAAAAUCCUGUGAAGUGAAGGAAGCUGGGUCACAAAAGACCACAUGUAUGAUUCCACUUUCAUGAAAUGUCCUGAGUAGGCAAAUCCAUAGAGACAGAAAGUAGAUUAGUGGUUUCCAGCGGCCGGUAGGAGGAGGGAAUGGGGAGUAACUGUAAAUGGGUUCUUUUCUUCUUCUACUUUUUUUUUUUUUUAAAGGGGAGGUGGUGUUAUGAAAAUGAUCUGGAACUAGGUAAUGGUGAUGGUUGCACAACUUUGUGAAUAAAUUAAAAACUACUGUAUUGCCCACUUUAAAAGCUGGGAUUUUUUGGUGUGUGAAUUAUAUCUCAGUUUUUAAAAUCAGGGGAAAAUGACGCCGAUGGAGAGGAGUCAGCGGAACUGAAAAAAUGAAAUGGAUCGCGAGUGUCGCCUGUCCCCGUCCGUCGCCUCCGUCUGAACGAACUUUAGGCUCAAGAACCGGCACCGAGAGGGCCUUCGGGAAACGACGCUGGAGACUGGAUCUAGGAAGAAACAUGGCCCAGGAUUCGAAGGGCAUGCAGUUAAGGUGGCGGCCUGGGAUCGCCUAGGACAGGGGAGGCGUCUGUAGGCUCCGAAGUUGGCCGGGCGGGAGCGGAGAUUUAAAGGCUGGAGCGCGGAGGCUCUUAAAGAGGCCCGGGCGAAUUCCCAUUCGGCGUCCACCUUAAAGCCAGCUCCCAGGAGCCAGUGGUCGGACCCCGCAGGCGCUGUUGCAAUAUAAGGAAUGCGCGGCUCGCCAGGCGGUAGGCUGGGGCGCGCGCGGGCUGCGCGGUCGCUUUAAGGAGGCGCCGGGGC
ensembl:lncRNA